CAGGUAUUUUAGCGGAACCUGGAAAUCGCUGUUAUCCUCAGUGUCACAAAUACACAAAAGGUCUGAACCAGAGCAGAUAGAAGAUCACAGAAAGGUCAUAGUUCAGGAUAAACCUAUGUUGGUCCGCCUGCCAUUGUUGGUGGAGGACCCUGGAGUCCCUGACGUGACACUUGAACAACCGCAACUUCCCCAUCUAUUGCCACGAGAAGACCAAUGUGUGGAGGAGUCAUCAAUCAGGUGGUCCAAUCAGAGGAGGGUAUCAGGGAUUUCAGACCUGAGGGGAUGGGUUGAGGCUCAAAUGCUAGCCCGCUUGGUCACCUAUGGCCUAUUGCUCAUUUAUGCCCGAUCAGUUAUAGAUAAGGUGUUGACGAUGGGAUAAACAGACUCAGUAAGAUUGUGUAUUUUACCACAGGUGGCAAUUAUUACGAUGUAAAAUCAAUGAUUGACCAUAAGUUGAUUGGUAAUAAGUUAAUUGGUCAUAAGUUAUUGUUAAUAAG
ensembl:lncRNA